AUUUAUUAUAAUUUGACUGAGAAUUUAUUUUUACGAAAUAAGAAGAGCUAAAAACACAAGUAUUUUAGUACUAUAAUUAAAUGUAGUAUAAUUUAACUAUGAGUAAGUUUUUAGGGGAGAAACUCUUUUCACUUCUUAGGAUAUCUUAAUACUAUAGAAAUAUAUUUAGUAUAGGCACAGACUAGGAAUGGUUAGGUUUUUAGUGGUUAUAUUUUCAAACAAGAAAGGUUUAAAUAGCUUAAUAGUUAUUAAUUUAACCCUUAUAAAAUAAUCUAUUAUCUGAAAAAUAGCUCUUACUUAGUUGUAUAGCAUAUUUGUUUACUAUAUUAAUAAUGUGAGUAUUAGUAACUUUAUCAAAAUUAUGUAAGUAACUCGGCAACCUGCUUCUCAACUGUUUAUCAAAAACAUUGCUCAAAGUAUUUAUUUUGGGUAUACCCUGCUCAAUGCCUCGUAAAUAGCCGCAGUAACUUGACUGUGCAAAGGUAGCAUAAUCAGUUGGCUUUUAAUUGGGGUCUAGUAUGAAUGGGACACUGGGAAGCGACUGUUUCAUAUAGUAAAUUCGAACUUACUAAAUAGGUGCAAAUUCCUAUACUAAAACAUAAGACGAGAAGACCCUAGAAAUUUUUUAAAAUUAAGUUCUUCUAUUUUGUUGGGGCGACAAAGUAACAUUUAACUUACUUAAAAUUAUAUGACCUAUAUUUAAAGAAUAAUUAAAUUACUCUAGGGAUAACAGCAUAAUUCUUAAGAGUUUGUGACCUCGAUGUUGGACUAGGUAUUUAACUUUCUAGAAGAAAUUUAAAUCCGCUCUGUUCGAGCAUUACUACCUACAUGAUCUGAGUUCAGACCGG
rnacentral:rRNA from 1 species